UACGGAGGGUGCAAGCGUUGUCCGGAUUUAUUGGGUUUAAAGGGUGCGUAGGCGGCCCUGUAAGUCAGUGGUGAAAUACUGCAGCUUAACUGUAGCAUUGCCAUUGAUACUGUAGGGCUUGAGUACAGAUGAGGUGGGCGGAAUUGAUGGUGUAGCGGUGAAAUGCAUAGAUACCAUCAAGAACACCGAUUGCGAAGGCAGCUUACUAAGCUGUAACUGACGCUGAGGCACGAAAGCGUGGGGAUCGAACAGG
rnacentral:rRNA from 1 species